GACGAACGCUGGCGGCGUGCUUAACACAUGCAAGUCGAACGGGCCCGCUCUCUUUUUUGGGGGUGGGUUGAGUGGCGACCGGGUGAGUAUCACGUGAGUAACCUGCCCCCUGCUCCUGGAUAACUGCUUGAAAGGGCGGCUAAUACGGGGUGUGCCGGCUGGUCCGCAUGGGCCUGGUCGGGAUAGUUUCAUCUUCGGGUGUUUCGGUGGGGGAUGGGCUCGCGGCCUAUCAGCUUGUUGGUGGGGUGAUGGCCCACCACGGCGGUGACGGGUAGCCGGCCUGAGAGGGUGGGCGGCCACACUGGGACUGAGACACGGCCCAGACGCGUGCGGGAGGCAGCAGUGGGGGGUAUUGCACAAUGGGCGGAAGCCUGAUGCAGCGACGUCGCGUGAGGGAUGGAGGCCUUCGGGUUGUGAACCUCUUUCUCCGGUGGUGAAGGCCCUGUCCGUUGCGGCGGGGUUGACGGUAGCCGGGGAUGAAGCGCCGGCUAACUACGUG
rnacentral:rRNA from 1 species